CCUACGGGUGGCAGCAGUGGGGAAUAUUGGUCAAUGGGCGCAAGCCUGAACCAGCCAAGUCGCGUGAAGGAAGACGGUCCUAUGGAUUGUAAACCUCUUUUGUCGGGGAGCAAAAGACGCCACGCGUGGCGUUCCGAGCGUACCCGAAGACAAAGCAUCGGCUAACUCCGUGCCAUCAGCCGCGGUAAUACGGGGGAUGCAAGCGUUAUCCGGAUUUGUUGGGGUUAAAGGGUGGGCAGGCGGAAGAUCAAGUCAGCGGUAAAAUUGAGAGGCUCAACCCGUUCGAGCCGUUGAAACUGGUUUUCUUGAGUGAGCGAGAGGUAUGCGGAAUGCGUGGUGUAGCGGUGAAAUGCAUAGAUAUUACGCAGAACUCCGAUUGCGAAGGCAGCAUACCGGCGCUCAACUGACGCUGAUGCACGAAAGCGUGGGUAGCGAACAGGAUUAGAUACCCUUGUAGUC
rnacentral:rRNA from 1 species